rnacentral:rRNA from 1 species
AUUGAACGCUGGCGGCGUGCUUAACACAUGCAAGUCGUGCGGUAACAGGCGUAGCAAUACGUGCUGACGAGCGGCGAACGGGUGCGUAAUACAUGGGAAUCUGCCUUUUAGUGGGGAAUAACCCGGCGAAAGCCGGGCUAAUGCCGCAUAAGAUCUUCGGAUGAAAGCGGGGGAGUCGUAAGACCUCGCGCUGAUAGAUGAGCCCACUGCCGGAUUAGCUAGUUGGNGAGGUAACGGCUCACCAAGGCGACGAUCCGUAGCUGGUCUGAGAGGACGGCCAGCCACACUGGGAC